rnacentral:rRNA from 1 species
GAUGAACGCUGGCGGCGUGCCUAAUACAUGCAAGUCGAACGAAACUUCUUUAUCACCGAGUGCUUGCACUCACCGAUAAAGAGUUGAGUGGCGAACGGGUGAGUAACACGUGGGCAACCUGCCCAAAAGAGGGGGAUAACACUUGGAAACAGGUGCUAAUACCGCAUAACCAUAGUUACCGCAUGGUAACUAUGUAAAAGGUGGCUAUACUACCGCUUUUGGAUGGGCCCGCGGCGCAUUAGCUAGUUGGUAGGGUAAAGGCUUACCAAGGCAAUGAUGCGUAGCCGAAUUGAGAGGUUGAUCGGCCACAUUGGGACUGAGACACGGCCCAAACUCCUACGGGAGGCAGCAGUAGGGAAUCUUCCACAAUGGGCGAAAGCCUGAUGGAGCAACGCCGCGUGGGUGAAGAAGGUCUUCGGAUCGUAAAACCCUGUUGUUAGAGAAGAAAGUGCGUGAGGGUAACUGUUCACGUUUCGACGGUAUCUAACCAGAAAGCCACGGCUAACUACGUG